CAUAAAGUCGUCUACUAUGGCAAUUCUGGGAGAGAUGCAUAACGUACAAUUUUAUUCAGCUAUGCCUAAUUUAGAUCGGAGGAUGAUCCUACUUGUGGAGUGGAUAGUUUAACCCAAAUAAUUUUUUUUUAAUUGAUAACAAAAUGAGCCACAAGUAAAAUCAUCCUCUGGACUAAACAGAGCAUUAAUUGCAAAGUGCUUAAAUAAAAUAUUGUAAAACCAAGGACUUCAAGGAAUCCAAGAUGAUGAGGUGAUGGACUGUCAGAUUAGAUUAACUACUUCACUCAACUGGGUCAAAAAUAACAUUUUCCAUAAUCCAAGUAUGCUUGAACCCAGUGAGCAAAAUAUUAGCAAUAUGCUAGCAGUAUCACUUAAGUGACAAUGUCAAUAUUCAACAACUUGAGGAUAUUGCAUGUGAGAGUACUUUUAAAUGUAACACAAAAUUAUUACUUCCUUUACCUCUGAUGACCAUAGAAGAUUAUUCCAAAUUUGAAGAGGAGCUUCAGCAAGAUAGGAAAAUCAGAAAACAGUUUGUGAUAACGUUUUCAAAAAAUAGUCGUGAACAGGAAAAAACAAUCAACACCAAUGAAAGACACAUUUGCUAGUAUUAUUAUAGGUAACUAAAAACAAAAAUAUUAUAAAUAUUACAAUUCUACGGUAGAAAAUUGCGGUCUUCAUCAAGUAUACAAAGUUAUUCAAGAAUGGUUGCGGCACGCAGGAGAUCGCCUCAAUUAGUUAUUGAAAAAGUGACAUAAAUAAGUAGUAUUACAAAUAUAUAUUUUUAUAAGUAUUAAAUAUAUUUUUAUGUGUUACAAAUACAGGGUGUCCCAUUUUAAGUGGGCGCCCCGAAUAACUUCGAAGGAAGUGAUUUUCAAAGAAAAUGACCCAGACAAAAGUUGUUGGGUUUGGAGGGGACAUCCGAUGGUGACAUUAGUUUAACCUAGAAUGUACGUGCCAAGGACAUAUGGAGGUCAACUUUGUUUUUUUAAAUGGAACACCCUAUUUUUGAUUCCAAAAUCUAAUAGCUGGUGUCAAGAGCUU